rnacentral:ncRNA from 1 species
CCGUAGCCAGGACGGGCCGCAUUGCGGAUAGACCUGGAUCCGUAGGCCGGUCGAGCGGAUUUACGUUAUCACCGGCAUCC